rnacentral:rRNA from 1 species
GACAGAGGGUGCAAACGUUGUUCGGAAUUACUGGGCGUAAAGCGUGCGUAGAACGGCUAUCUAAGUCGGGUGUGAAAGCCCCGGGCUCAACCUGGGAAUUGCAUUCGAGACUGAAUAGCUAGGGUACGGUAGAGGGAAGUGGAAUUUCCGGUGUAGCGGUGAAAUGCGUAGAUAUCGAGAGGAACACCUGCGGGCGAAAGGCGGGUUGCUGGGCUGACACUGACGCUGGAUGCGCGGA